AGUGAGCGCUGGCGGUAGGCCUAACACAUGCAAGUCGAACGGCAGCACAGGAGAGCUUGCUCUCUGGGUGGCGAGUGGCGGACGGGUGAGGAAUACAUCGGAAUCUACUCUGUCGUGGGGGAUAACGUAGGGAAACUUACGCUAAUACCGCAUACGACCUACGGGUGAAAGCAGGGGACCUUCGGGCCUUGCGUCGUUGCAUGAGCCGAUGUCGGAUUAGCUAGUUGGCGGGGUAAAGGCCCAACAAGGCGACGAUCCGUAGCUGGUCUGAGAGGAUGAUCAGCCACACUGGAACUGAGACACGGUCCAGACUCCUACGGGAGGCAGCAGUGGGGAAUAUUGGACAAUGGGCGCAAGUCUGAUCCAGCCAUACCGCGUGGGUGAAGAAGGCCUUCGGGUUGUAAAGCCCUUUUGUUGGGAAAGAAAUCCAGCUGGCUAAUACCCGGUUGGGAUGACGGUACCCAAAGAAUAAGCACCGGCUAACUUCGUGCCAGCCGCCGCUGUAA
rnacentral:rRNA from 1 species